rnacentral:rRNA from 1 species
GUGUCAGCCUCCGCGGUAAUACGGAGGGGGCUAGCGUUGCCCGGAAUCACUGGGCGUAAAGCGUACGUAGGCGGCUUGCCAAGUCACGGGUGAAAGCCUGGGGCUUAACCUCAGAACUGCCCUUGAAACUGGCUCGCUCGAACACAGGAGAGGAGAGUGGAAUUCCGAGUGUAGAGGUGAAAUUCGUAGAUAUUCGGAGGAACACCAGAGGCGAGGGCGACUCACUGGACUGUAGCUGACGCUGAGGUACGAAAGCGUGGGGAGCAAACAGGAUUAGAUACCCUGGUAGUCCACGCCGUAA